UGCCGUUGUAGCUCAGUUGGUAGAGCAAUUGAUUCGUAAUCAAAAGGUCGGAAGUUCGAUUCUUCUCAGCGGCAU
rnacentral:tRNA from 1 species